GAUGAAGAACGUAGCGAAAUGCGAUACUUGCUGUGAAUUGCAGAAUCCCGUGAACCAUCGAGUCUUUGAACGCAAGUUGCGCCUCAAGCCAUUAGGUUGAGGGCACGUCUGCCUGGGCGUCACAUAUCGUUGCCUGAUGCCAGUUUCCUCGUGAUGGGUGACUGUGCAGGGCGAAUGAUGGCUUCCCGUGAGCAUUGUUGCCUCAUGGUUGGUUGAAAAUUGAGUCCUUGGUAGGGAGCGCCGUGAUAGAUGGUGGUUGAGUGACGAACGAGACCCAAUCAUGUGAGACCCCUACCGAAUUUGGCCUUCAUGACCCACAUGCGUCUUUGGAACGCUCAUGACGAGACCUCAGGUCAGGCGGGGCUACCCGCUGAGUUUAAGCAUAUCAAUAAGCGGAGGA
rnacentral:misc_RNA from 1 species